UACGAAGGGGGCAAGCGUUGUUCGGAUUUACUGGGCGUAAAGGGCGCGUAGGCGGAACGACAAGUCAGAGGUGAAAGCCCUGGGCUCAACCCGGGAAUUGCCUUUGGGACUGCCGUUCUAGAGUUCGGAAGAGGAUGGCGGAAUACCCAGUGUAGAGGUGAAAUUCGUAGAUAUUGGGUAGAACACCGGUGGCGAAGGCGGCCAUCUGGUCCGACACUGACGCUGAGGAGCGAAAGCGUGGGGAGCAAACAGG
rnacentral:rRNA from 1 species